GACGAACGCUGGCGGCGUGCUUAACACAUGCAAGUCGAACGGAAAGGCCCUGCUUUUGUGGGGUGCUCGAGUGGCGAACGGGUGAGUAACACGUGAGUAACCUGCCCUUGACUUUGGGAUAACUUCAGGAAACUGGGGCUAAUACCGGAUAGGAGCUCCUGCUGCAUGGUGGGGGUUGGAAAGUUUCGGCGGUUGGGGAUGGACUCGCGGCUUAUCCGCUUGUUGGUGGGGUAGUGGCUUACCAAGGCUUUGACGGGUAGGCGGCCUGAGAGGGUGACCGGCCACAUUGGGACUGAGAUACGGCCCAGACUCCUACGGGAGGCAGAAGUGGGGAAUAUUGCACAAUGGGCGGAAGCCUGAUGCAGCAACGCCGCGUGCGGGAUGACGGCCUUCGGGUGGUAAACCGCUUUCGCCUGUGACGAAGCGUGAGUGACGGUAAUGGGUAAAGAAGCACCGGCUAACUACGUG
rnacentral:rRNA from 1 species